GUCCACGCCUAACGAUGUCAGCUGAUUGUUCGGGAAGCAAUUCCUGGGUAACCAAGCCAACGCGUGAAGCUGACCGCCUGGGAAGUACGGUCGCAAGAUUAAACUCAAGGAAUUGACGGGACCCGCACAAGCAGCGGAGCAUGUGGUUUAAUUCGAAGCAACGCGAAACCUUACCAGGACUUGACAUCCUGCUGACAGGCCCUUAACCGGGCCUUCUUCGGACAGCAGAGACAGGUGGUGCAUGGUUGUCGU
rnacentral:rRNA from 1 species